rnacentral:tRNA from 1 species
UCCCUGGCAGUCCAGUGGUUAAGGCUCCAGUCUUCGAUGCAGGGGGCACAGGUUCGAUUCCUGGCCAGGGAA